rnacentral:rRNA from 1 species
UACAGAGGGUGCGAGCGUUGUCCGGAGUUACUGGGCGUAAAGGGCGCGCAGGCGGCGGUGCUGGCCCGGCGUGAAAGCCCCCGGCUCAACCGGGGAGGGUCGUCGGGGACCGCACCGCUUGAGGGCGGUAGGGGCCGGUGGAAUGCCUGGUGUAGUGGUGAAAUGCGUAGAGAUCAGGCAGAACACCUGGGGCGAAGGCGGCCGGCUGGGCCGACCCUGACGCUGAGGCGCGAAGGCGUGGGGAGCGAACGGG